rnacentral:rRNA from 1 species
AGAACCUGAACCGUUACGACAGAAGCGUAUUGCGUUGAAUUGAGGGCUGUUUAACUCUUCAGCUGAACGUGAGUUUAGUGUACUGAGUUAAGUAGUUAUCCGUCGUGCCUUUUCUGUGGCUGAUAUUGAGCCGCGGGAGAGGGAGGGAUCCCCUUUAUGGGUGAGGACGAUGGAGUGGCAACGCGAUGCGACCCGUCUUGAAACACGGACCAAGGAGUCUAACAUGUUUGCGAGUUGAAGGGUAGUAAACCUGGAGGCGCAGUGAAAGCGAACUUCUAAAACGGACAGUUUGUGGCGGCAUAAAAUCGUUGAUUUUAGGUCUGACUAAGAGCAAAUAUGUUAGGACCCGAAAGAUGGUGAACUAUGCUUGAGUAGGCCGAAGGCAGAAGAAAUUCUGCUGGAGGGCCGAAGCGGUGCUGACGUGCAAAUCGCUCGUCGAACUCGAGUAUAGGGGCGAAAGACUAAUCGAACCAUCUAGUAGCUGGUUCCCUCCGAAGUUUCUCUCAGGAUAGCGGGCCGACAAUUAUUGUUUUGUGCGGUAAAGCGAAUGAUUAGCGCACUCGGGGGCAUUCAGUCUUCGGUCGAUUCUCAAACUUUUAAUGCGCAAGGGGGCUGCAGCUUAGGUGUGCGGCUCCUCUAAAAAUGUCGGCCUUGUGGGCCACUUUUGGUAAGC